rnacentral:lncRNA from 1 species
CCUUCUUUGCCAAAAGGUCCGCGCAUCUGUUGGCUUCACAGAACACGUCUAAUGGAAACUGAUUGGGAGCUCCUCAUGCUAGUCCUGCAAUCAAUAAGACAUGAAGAGGAUGCAUGAGUAUUAGAGUUAGAAUCCAGUAGCAAGUCCAUAAUGACUUUAGCAUGCAUUUUUACAUUAAGAUGAGAAAUAUUGAGAGAUUGAGCUAGAAUUAAUCCAUCUCUUAGGCCCCAUAAACCAGCAUUCAAGUUAGUAGACCAUCGCAGCUUCGUACUAUGUCCUCCAAUCCAUUCAUCCAAAUGGUUAUGGAUUAUGCCUCCUGCACCAGCAGGACGAGGAUUACCCAUGGUUUAUCCAUCUGUGUUCAAUUUACAGCAAGGGCCAGUGGGAGGUUGCCAGCAGGCAUUAACUGAUCUUUGACCUUGAAACCUGCUCCGUUGUUUGGGCCUAUUGUUAGAUACUCUGCUGCAGAGGCCCCCAUGGCUUUUUGAAGGCAUAUGGAAAUAUUUUGUCCUUCAAACAGUCUUUUGUUCCUAUCUUUUCAAAGCAGCCAACAUCCUAAGCAAUUAUGGUUCCCAAGCAGGUUUAAGUGUGGAUAGUGUUCUGUUUAAGCAGACUUUUCUCAACCUACCUCCCACAUUGUCAUUCUCAGCAGGUUUGAAUGAGGUAGGAAUAGCCAGGCUACUCCAAAGUUUUUCAGCAUCCAUGCACCACCCCAGCAUAUGAAGAGCAGCUUCUUUACUAUGAUCACAGAAAGUGCACUUUUCCUCUUGAACAAUAUUUCUUUUCAGCAGAUUGUUUUUGGUGGAAAGCCUGUCCCAGCUGGCUAGUCAUAGGAAAAUUUUGACCCUAUUACUAGCUACCACUUUCCAAAUCCACUUCAAAUCAGAAUUAC